UACGUAGGGGGCUAGCGUUGUCCGGAAUCAUUGGGCGUAAAGAGCGUGUAGGCGGCCCGGUAAGUCCGCUGUGAAAGUCGGGGGCUCAACCCUCGAAUGCCGGUGGUACUGGCGGGCUAGAGUGCGGAAGAGGCGAGUGGAAUUCCUGGUGUAGCGGUGAAAUGCGCAGAUAUCGGGAGGAACACCUAUGGCGAAGGCAGCUCGCUGGGACGUUACUGACGCUGAGACGCGAAAGCGUGGGGAGCAAACAGG
rnacentral:rRNA from 1 species